AUUUUGGACAAUGGGCGCAAGCCUGAUCCAGCCAUGCCGCGUGUCUGAAGAAGGCCUUCGGGUUGUAAAGGACUUUUGUCAGGGAAGAAAAGGAUAGGGUUAAUACCCCUGUCUGAUGACGGUACCUGAAGAAUAAGCACCGGCUAACUACGUGCCAGCAGCCGCGGUAAUACGUAGGGUGCGAGCGUUAAUCGGAAUUACUGGGCGUAAAGCGGGCGCAGACGGUUACUUAAGCAGGAUGUGAAAUCCCCGGGCUCAACCUGGGAACUGCGUUCUGAACUGGGUGACUAGAGUGUGUCAGAGGGAGGUAGAAUUCCACGUGUAGCAGUGAAAUGCGUAGAGAUGUGGAGGAAUACCGAUGGCGAAGGCAGCCUCCUGGGAUAACACUGACGUUCAUGCCCGAAAGCGCGGGUAGCAAACAGGAUUAGAUACCCUGGUAGUCCACGCCCUAAACGAUGUCGAUUAGCUGUUGGGCAGCGUGACUGCUUAGUAGCGAAGCUAACGCGUGAAAUCGACCGCCUGGGGAGUACGGCCGCAAGGUUAAAACUCAAAUGAAUUGACGGAA
rnacentral:rRNA from 1 species